rnacentral:tRNA from 1 species
UUAAAAUGGUUGAAAAACUAAAUUUCAUUGUAAAUGAAAUAUCUAAUGAUUUCAUUU